rnacentral:lncRNA from 1 species
GCCUGAGCGAGACCCCAUCUCUACUAAAAAUAGAAAGAAAUUAAUUGGCCAACUAAAAAUAUAUAUACAAAAAAUUAGCUGAGCAUGGUGGCUCAUGCCUGUAGUCCCAGCUACUCGGGAGGCUGAGGCAGGAGGAUCGCUUGAGCCCAGGAGUUUGAGUUUGCUGUGAGCUAUGCUGACGCCACAGCACUCACUCUAGCCUGGACAACAAAGUGAGACUCUGUCUCAAAAAAAAAAAGCACAAAACGAAAAUGCCUCUAGGCCCCUCGUCACUCCGCCUCUCCCCCUCCCCAAGUGUGCCAACUGGCCGCUACUCACCCUGGGGCCCCUACCUGUGUCCCUUUCUGUUACAGGGUGGAAGAGCCGUGGGUGGGCAGAGCCGGGGUGCUGGCCCUCCUAGAAGUCUGCAGCCAGGCCUCAGGCAACGUCACUGAAAUAAGCAUCUCUGAGACCGGGCAGCAGCUGCGCGUCCAGCUGGAAUUCCCUCGCCAGGAGAACCCGGAGGUGGUGGCCCUCAGGUUGGCUCACUGUGACCUUGGGACCCACCACAGCCUUCUCGUCAGGCAGCUGAUGGAGGCGUGUGCCAGGCUGCGGCAGCUCAGGUCAGCACCCGGAAGCACCGGGCCCCGGUUCCCUGGUCGAGCCCGGCGCCUACUCCAGGCCACCUGUGCCCCUGGCAGCGUCAUUUCCUUACACAGGUCACAUUCGGCCAGUGAGGGGAGAGCCCCUGGGUGGCAAAGAGGAGCUCUUGGGGGCCCUUUCCCCUCCCCGGCUGCCCCGUCUGUACGUGACAACCCCUGAGGUGUGUCCAGUCUGAAAUGUUCUGGAAUAUCCUUGGUCCUUUUCAGCUUGUCCCAGGUUAACCUCUGUGAUGACGGUGAUGCCAGCGUCCUGCUGCUGCAGAGCCUCCUGCCGUCCCUGUCUGAGCUGAAGACGUUCCGGUGGGCAGACGAGGCGCUCUCCCCGCCCCUUGCAGCCCGGCCCUUCCCCCGCCCGUCGGCCCCCAGCCCAAGGCUCGGAGGACCCUGGGUCCCGCCCUGUGGACAAGAACCACAGGUGGUUUUGAGGUGGUGUCAGGGGUGCACGGUGACAGGCACGACCUUAGCAACACUGAGCCACACGGCAAGAAACUUAUUCCCUUUUCAAUGCCCUUUCUUUGUUUUCUCUUGAAAUAAUUGCAAGCUAAUAAAAAAGCUGCAAGAAGGCUAAGANNNNNNNNNNNNNNNNNNNNNNNNNNNNNNNNNNNNNNNNNNNNNNNNNNCAGUCUGAAAUGUUCUGGAAUAUCCUUGGUCCUUUUCAGCUUGUCCCAGGUUAACCUCUGUGAUGACGGUGAUGCCAGCGUCCUGCUGCUGCAGACCCUCCUGCCGUCCCUGUCUGAGCUGAAGACGUUCCGGUGGGCAGACAAGGCGCUAUCCCCGGCCCCUUGCAGCCCUGCCCUUCCCCCACCCGUCGGCCCCCAGCCCAAG